CAAGUCGAGCGAGAAAGUGGAGCAAUCCAUGAGUAAAGCGGCGUACGGGUGAGUAACACGUGGAUUAUCUACCUCUUUGUGGGGGAUAACCCUGGGAAACCGGGGCUAAUACCGCAUAAGUUCGAGAGAAGAAAGCAGCAAUGCGCAGAGAGAGGAGUCCGCGGCCGAUUAGCUAGUUGGUAGGGUAAAAGCCUACCAAGGCAAAGAUCGGUAGCCGGCCUGAGAGGGCACACGGCCACACUGGCACUGAAACACGGGCCAGACUCCUACGGGAGGCAGCAGUGGGGAAUCUUGCACAAUGGGGGCAACCCUGAUGCAGCGACGCCGCGUGAGCGAUGAAGCCCUUCGGGGUGUAAAGCUCUUUCGGCAGGGAAGAUUAUGACGGUACCUGCAGAAGCAGCUGCGGCUAACUACGUGCCAGCAGCCGCGGUAAUACGUAGGCAGCAAGCGUUGUUCGGAGUUACUGGGCGUAAAGGGUGUGUAGGCGGUUCUCUAAGUUUGGUGUGAAAUCUCCCGGCUUAACCGGGAGGGUGCGCCGAAAACUGGGGAGCUAGAGUGCGGGAUGGGUAAGUGGAAUUCCUGGUGUAGCGGUGAAAUGCGUAGAUAUCAGGAGGAACAUCUGUGGUGUAGACGGCUUACUGGACCGCAACUGACGCUGAGACACGAAAGCGUGGGUAGCAAACAGGAUUAGAUACCCUGGUAGUCCACGCCCUAAACGAUGCAUAUUUGGUGUGGGCCAUUCAUUUGGUCUGUGCCGGAGCUAACGCGUUAAAUAUGCCGCCUGGGGAGUACGGUCGCAAGGCUGAAACUCAAAG
rnacentral:rRNA from 1 species